rnacentral:tmRNA from 1 species
GGGGAUGAAAGGCUUCGACAGCGUGAUACUGGAUGCGUGAUGUCUCUGUCUGGGAUGGCAACGGUUCCCAUGCCCUGUAGUGUGCUUGCACUACUGCGGGGCGAACCCACGGUUGCAAACGACAACUGCCAAAAACAGUGUCAUGGCGAAAGCCCUCGAGAAGAUGGAUGUCUUUAACCGGACUCCUGCUCUCGUGCCGGCAUUCGCUUAAGUUCUCCCUUUCCGGAGAACACAUCACUCCUCUGAUCCUCGCUACGGGGAUGUGAUGCCAUUCGCGAGGCGGAUUCCCGCAUGCCACCGUCGCUCUCGAGCGACGUGGCGCGAUGCGACGGGAGUCGUCACCAAGCAUCGACCCUCCCUGCCGUUCUUCGUCCGGUUCUUAUGGCAGGGCGAUGCGAAACGGACAUGACAGUACGGAUACCGCGUUCACACGUUGGACCCGGGUUCAAUUCCCGGCAUCUCCACCA